rnacentral:rRNA from 1 species
GAUGAACGCUGGCGGCGUGCUUAACACAUGCAAGUCGAGCGAGUGAGUUCUUCGGAACGAUCUAGCGGCGGACGGGUGAGUAACACGUGGGCAACCUGCCUCAUAGAGGGGAAUAGCCUCCCGAAAGGGAGAUUAAUACCGCAUAAAGUUAUCGAGUGGCAUCACAUGAUAAUCAAAGGAGUAAUCCGCUAUGAGAUGGGCCCGCGGCGCAUUAGCUAGUUGGUGAGGUAACGGCUCACCAAGGCGACGAUGCGCAGCCGACCUGAGAGGGUGAUCGGCCACAUUGGGACUGAGACACGGCCCAGACUCCUACGGGAGGCAGCAGUGGGGAAUAUUGCACAAUGGGGGAAACCCUGAUGCAGCAACGCCGCGUGAGUGAUGAAGGUCUUCGGAUUGUAAAGCUCUGUCUUUGGGGACGAUAAUGACGGUACCCAAGGAGGAAGCCACGGCUAACUACGUGCCAGCAGCCGCCGUAA